GAUUUCUGGCUUGGUGCGCCUGGCCCGCCACGGUUACGUGCGUGAGUGCCGGGUCGCGCCUGCCAUCCUUCUAGAGAACGCCUCUACUCUUCAUUGAGCUGGAGGCGCAAUCUAGAUCUUUUACUUUGAAAAAAUUAGAGUGUUUCAAGCAGGCGUUUUGCUAUGAAUACAUUAGCAUGGAAUAAUGAGUUAGGACUUCGGUUCUAUUUUGUUGGUUUCUAGGACUGAAGUAAUGAUUGAUAGGGAUAGUUGGGGGUGCUAGUAUUCAGCGGCCAGAGGUGAAAUUCUUGGAUUCGCUGAAGACUAACUUAUGCGAAAGCAUU
rnacentral:rRNA from 1 species